GCCGUGUAGCCGUCUAAGUUAUUCCGCGAUCACACGCAACUCGCGAACCUAACUUCGCGUGACCGAUGAGAAGCAUACACGGCAUAAAGCUUUAAUUUAGCUAAUGCAAUUGUCCGAUUAAGAAACUUCCCUGAACCGCUUUACUUUCCACUUUUUCGAUCGACCGAUAUUAUCUUUGAAUAACAUAAUCGCUACAAGCCUGUUGAAAGCCCUUUCCCUCGAUCGUGUUGAUUGGAGAUUUAACGUCAUCCCGAUGUUCGUUGCUGGGAAUUCUUAUUCUCGCAGGUUUUCAUCCUGACAUGCAUUUACCUUGUCCUGAUUUUCCUUGCAUCUUUACUUCUGCACAGUUCCAUUUUUAUUAUUUUAUCUUCUGCCGUAUCUUAAAAGUUUGAUGAAAUCUCUGAAUUCAACUUAAUUUUAUUCUAUACACGAUUUACCUAG
rnacentral:misc_RNA from 1 species